AGAUUGAACGCUGGCGGCAUGCUUUACACAUGCAAGUCGAGCGGCAUCGCGGGGGGUAACCUCUGGCGGCGAGCGGCGGACGGGUGAGUAAUGCAUCGGAACGUAUCCCGUAGUGGGGGACAACCCAGCGAAAGCUGGGCUAAUACCGCAUAUGCUCUACGGAGGAAAGUGGGGGCUCCGCAAGGACCUCAUGCUAUGGGAGCGGCCGAUGUCCGAUUAGCUAGUUGGUGGGGUAAAGGCUUACCAAGGCGACGAUCGGUAGCUGGUCUGAGAGGAUGAUCAGCCACACUGGGACUGAGACACGGCCCAGACUCUACGGGNGCAGCAGUGGGGAAUUUGGACAAU
rnacentral:rRNA from 1 species